GAAGCAAUUCAGUAAGGGCAGAGGGAGACUACCUCGUUGAUAGGCUGGAGGUGGAAGCACUGUGAAGUGUGGAGCUGACCAGUACUAAUAGCCCGAGUGUCUUGUUUAC
rnacentral:rRNA from 1 species